GAUUAAGCAAAGAAGAGCGCAGGGUGGAUGCCUUGGCACUAAGAGCCGAAGAAAGACGUGAUAAGCUGCGAAAAGCUGCGGGGAGAUGCAAAUAAUCCUUGAUCCGCAGAUGUCUGAAUGGGGAAACCCGGUACGAAGAACUCGUAUCAUCCAUACGCCAAUCCAUAACGUAUGGAGGGGAACCCGGUGAACUGAAACAUCUAAGUAGCCGGAGGAAGAGAAAGAAACAUCGAUUUUGUUAGUAGCGGCGAGCGAAAGCGAAAGAGGCCAAACCGGAGUGCGUGCACUCCGGGGUUCGGACCGCAUUUAAGAUUCAGUGAUUCUAGCAGAAAGGUUUGGGAAAGCCUGCCGGAGAGGGUGAAAGCCCCGUAAGCGAAAGGAGAGCUGACUGAGCGGGAUCCAGAGUACAUCGAGACACGAGAAACCUUGAUGGAAAGAGCGGGGACCACCCCGUAAGCCUAAAUACUACUUAGUGACCGAUAGCGCAUAGUACUGUGAAGGAAAGGUGAAAAGGACCCCGGGAGGGGAGUGAAAGAGAACCUGAAACCCUGUGUUUACAAGCUGUGGAAGUUCUUUAAAUGAACAACCGCGUACUUUUUGUAGAACGGUCCGGCGAGUUGCGGAUACUGGCAAGGUUAAGCACUUAAGGUGCGGAGCCGAAGGGAUACCAAGUCUUAACAGGGCGUUAAGUCAGUAUACGCAGACCCGAAACCGGGUGAUCUAUCCAUGUCCAGGUUGAAGUUGUCGUAAAAGACAAUGGAGGACCGAAGCCACAUCCGUUGAAAAGGGUGGGCAUGAGGUGUGGAUAGGGGAGAAAUUCCAAUCGAACCCGGAGAUAGCUGGUUCUCCUCGAAAUAGCUUUAGGGCUAGCCUCGAUUUAGUCUUAUGGAGGUAGAGCACUGAAUUUCCGCGGGGGCGUCAAAGCUUACCAAAGAAUAUCAAACUCCGAAUGCCAUGUAGAUGAUGAUCGGGAGUCAGACUGCACGAGAUAAGUUGGGCAGUCAAAAGGGAAAGAGCCCAGACCACCGGCUAAGGUCCCAAAGUGCGUGUUAAGUGGAAAAGGAUGUGGGAAUUCGAAGACAACUAGGAUGUUGGCUCAGAAGCAGCCAUACAUUCAAAGAGUGCGUAACAGCUCACUAGUCGAGAGUUCCUGCGCCGAAAAUGUCCGGGGCUGAAACACGACACCGAAGCCGUGGACUCGCAAUGCGAGUGGUAGAGGAGCAUUCUUAAAACCGACGAAGCUGUACCGGAAGGAGCAGUGGAGGGAUAAGAAGAGAGAAUGCCGGAAUGAGUAGCGAGAGAAAGGUGGGAAUCCUUUCGGCCGAAUAUCUAAGGUUUCCAGAGUAAAGCUGAUCUGCUCUGGGUAAGUCGGGGCCUAAGCACAGGUCGCAAGACGUAAGCGAUGGAUAACAGGUUUAGAUUCCUGUACCACGCAUUAUCAGAACUGUAGGGACGCAUGUGGAAAGCACG
rnacentral:rRNA from 1 species